rnacentral:scRNA from 1 species
UAUUCCCAGGUUAGCGGUUGCAGCCACAGCAU